rnacentral:rRNA from 1 species
UGCUUACCAUGCAGUCGAACGAGAAACGGUCUAGCUUGCUAGAUGCAGUCUAAGUGGCGCACGGGUGAGUAAUAUAUAGGUAAUAUGCCUCUUACUAAGGGAUAACAGAUGGAAACGUCUGCUAAUACCUUAUAUGCCUUUAGGACUAAAGUCCGCAAGGGAAAGAUUUAUCGGUAAGAGAUUAGCCUGUACAGUAUCAGUUAGUUGGUGAGGUAAUGGCUCACCAAGACUAUGACACUUAACUGGUUUGAGAGGAUGAUCAGUCACACUGGAACUGAGACACGGUCCAGACUCCUACGGGAGGCAGCAGUGGGGAAUAUUGCACAAUGGACGGAAGUCUGAUGCAGCAACGCCGCGUGGAGGAUGACACAUUUCGGUGCGUAAACUCCUUUUAUAUGAGAAGAUAAUGACGGUAUCAUAUGAAUAAGCACCGGCUAACUCCGUGCCAGCAGCCGCGGUAAUACGGAGGGUGCAAGCGUUACUCGGAAUCACUGGGCGUAAAGAGCGUGUAGGCGGGUUGAUAAGUUUGAAGUGAAAUCCUAUAGCUUAACUAUAGAACUGCUUUGAAAACUGUUAACCUAGAAUAUGGGAGAGGUAGAUGGAAUUUCUGGUGUAGGGGUAAAAUCCGUAGAGAUCAGAAGGAAUACCGAUUGCGAAGGCGAUCUACUGGAACAUUAUUGACGCUGAGACGCGAAAGCGUGGGUAGCAAACAGGAUUAGAUACCCUGGUAGUCCACGCCCUAAACGAUGUACACUAGUUGUUGUGAGGCUCGACCUUGCAGUAAUGCAGUUAACACAUUAAGUGUACCGCCUGGGGAGUACGGUCGCAAGAUUAAAACUCAAAGGAAUAGACGGGGACCCGCACAAGCGGUGGAGCAUGUGGUUUAAUUCGGACGAUACACGAAGAACCUUACCUGNCUUGACAUAGUAAGAACUU